CCCUUAGAUGUUCUGGGCCGCACGCGUGCUACACUGAGUAAAUCACUGGGUAAGGGAACACGAAAGUGCAACCUAAUCUUGAAAUUUGCUCGUGAUGGGGAUCGACGGUUGCAAUUUUCCGUCGUGAACGAGGAAUACCUUGUAGGCGCGUGUCAUCAUCACGCGCCGAAUACGUCCCUGCCCUUUGUACACACCGCCCGUCGCUCCUACCGAUUGAGUGAUCCGGUGAGGCUCUGGGACCUGGACGGAAAGAGCGUUUCGCUUGUUCUGUUUGGGAAACUUGGUCGAACCUUAUCAUUUAGAGGAAGGAGAAGUCGUAACA
rnacentral:rRNA from 1 species